rnacentral:miRNA from 1 species
CGCUGACUUUUCACCUUGCUUCCUUGAGCUUCUUCCAUAAAUUAGAGAUAUUUUUUGCUAGAAGCUCAAAGAAGCAAGGUAAAAGGUCAGUGU